AAAUUAUUCCUCCAAAUGAUGCAAUGGAGACUGAGUUACACAAUUGUUAGAGAAUUAAAACAGACUAUCCCAGAAGGCCACUUGAUUUUCAUAGUGGUUAUUUGGGACAGUGAUGAUGAUUGCAGUAGGUACACAUUUCUAUGAUUCUGUGCUAUCCAUGCAUGUUUUGGCAAUGGAAGUAUGCAGUUUUUAUUUUAAACCCCCUCUUUUUCUUGUUUUGCCUAUCACAGCACAAACUGUUAAAAGAAAUAAUAUCUGAACUCAGUCUCCCUUGUCUGGCAAGCAGAAGCCAGGACUGGGUGCCUCUUCCAGCUUUGCCUUUGGCCUUCUCAGUGAUGAUUUUCGGCAUAUGGCUUCACCUCUAAUGCCUUAAUUCGCCCACCUAUCAAGUGACUGAGAUCUCCAGAUGAAGAUCUUGAGAUAUCUAUGUAAAGAGCCAGGCACUGUCAUUAUCCCAGAUGUUGAGCAAUAAGGAGAAAGUUUAACUGAGCACAAAAUGUGACUCACACAAGCCUAAAUACAUAAAAGGAAGUGUUUAAGAACAGCCCUUGUGAAAAUAGCCCUGAAGAUGCUCUUAUCAGUAUACAGACAGUGCUAAUGGCACUCAAUUGUAUGUUGCUCAGACAUAGCUUUUUCUCUGCUAUCUACUGUACUGCUAUCAGCCACACUGUCUCCUUACAUUGCAUUUGAUAAUCCAUUAAAAACUUAAAAUCCUAGAAUAGAUUGGGUUGGAAGGGACCUUUAAAGGCUGUCUAGUCUAAUCCCCUUGUAAUGAGCAGGGACAUCUUCAACUAGACCAAGUUGCUCAGAGUCCUAGCAAGCCUGACUUAGAAUGUUCCUGGGAAUUAGGGAUACACCACCUCUCUGGGCAACCUGUGCCAGUGCCUCACCAUCCUCACUGUAAAAAAUUCCUUCCUUAUAUCUAAUCUAAAUCAACCUUCUCUUUGUUUAAGACCAUUACCUCUUGUCCUAUUGAAACAGGCCCUGCUAAAACAUUUUCCCCACCUUUCUUAUGAGCUCCCUUCAAGUACUGAAAAGCUGCAAUAAGGUUUCCCUGGAGCCUUUUCUUCUUCAGGGUGAAUACUCCUAGCUCUCAGCCUGUCUUCACAGGGGAGGUGCUGCAGCCUCUGAUCAUCUUCACAGUCUUCUCCGAGCCAGCCCCAACAGGUUGAUGUCCUUCCUGUUCUGGGAUCCCCCAAGCUGAAUGUGGUCCUCCAGAUGGGGUCUCAGCAAAGCAGACUAAAGGCUCCCUUGACCUUCUUCAAAAGCAUAUGUCUGAUUUUGGGGGGUGGCACGUGAUGGUAGAGAGACUUUUAUAAAUUUUAAAAGCAUGAAGCACAAUCAGACAUAAAAGGGCCAGACAAGAUGUAUAAUGCUGGAGCUGUUCUGAGAGUGCCUGUGGAUUUUCAUACCUCAGGGGCUUCCAGACAUGAGAAUGGACAAUGCAGACAGUUUCAGUUCCUCAGGCCUAGCACAAGCCAGCUGUAGUAUUCAGGCAGCUCAGAGUGGAUGUGAGCCUGCCCAUCCAGGAUAUCUGAAGUUUCCUUCCAAAUGAAAGAAUCAGGGUGACAACGGUCACAAGCAGAGAUCCUGUACAAAAGGUAGUCAAAAUA
ensembl:lncRNA